rnacentral:rRNA from 2 species
AAAUUGAAGAGUUUGAUCAUGGCUCAGAUUGAACGCUGGCGGCAGGCCUAACACAUGCAAGUCGAACGGUAACAGGAAGCAGCUUGCUGCUUUGCUGACGAGUGGCGGACGGGUGAGUAAUGUCUGGGAAACUGCCCGAUGGAGGGGGAUAACUACUGGAAACG